AGAGUUUGAUCAUGGCUCAGGACGAACGCUGGCGGCGUGCUUAACACAUGCAAGUCGAGCGAGAACCAGACCUUCGGGUCUGGGGACAGCGGCGAACGGGUGAGUAACACGUGGGCAACCUGCCCCAGAGACCGGGACAACACUUCGAAAGGGGUGCUAAUACCGGAUGACGUGACACCUGCCAAGUGGGUGUCACCAAAUGGUAGCUUCGGCCUCCGCUCUGGGAUGGGCCCGCGCCGGAUUAGCUUGUUGGUGAGGUAACGGCUCACCAAGGCGACGAUCCGUAGCUGGUCUGAGAGGACGAUCAGCCACACUGGGACUGAGACACGGCCCAGACUCCUACGGGAGGCAGCAGUGGGGAAUCUUGCGCAAUGGGCGAAAGCCUGACGCAGCAACGCCGCGUGAGCGAAGACGGCCUUCGGGUUGUAAAGCUCUGUCAGGAGGGACGAAGCCACUCGGGUGAACAGCCCAGAGGGUGACGGUACCUCCAGAGGAAGCCCCGGCUAACUACGUGCCAGCAGCCGCGGUAAUACGUAGGGGGCGAGCGUUGUCCGGAAUUAUUGGGCGUAAAGCGCGUGUAGGCGGCUCGUCAAGUCCGAUGUGAAAUCUCGGGGCUCAACCCCGAAACUGCAUUGGAAACUGGCUUGCUAGAGUCCGGAAGAGGAGAAUGGAAUUCCUGGGUGUAGCGGUGAAAUGCGCAGAUAUCAGAAGAACACCGGUGGCGAACGCAGUCUCUGGGACGGUACUGACGCUGAGACGCGAAGGCGUGGGGAGCGACAGGAUUAGAUACCCUGGUAGUCACGC
rnacentral:rRNA from 1 species